CUGCAAAUAUUUUUGCUGUUCUGAUUCAGUAAUAAUGUGCAGGCUAAACUUUUGCUACAAUAAGAUCAUUCAGGUGUUCUCAGACCUAGUUUUUUAUCUACUCAGUUCUGUUCUUAGAAAUUAUGGUGAUAGGG
rnacentral:snoRNA from 1 species